UACAACAUGCCAAGCACUGGUUUAGGUGAAGAUGAUAGAUUUGUGAAUCAUUUUAGAUGUCUCAACUCUAGCAACUAUUAAAUUCUAUGUUAUUUAGCGAGAGGUUUUUUACUUCCUCUGCAUUUGCAUUUUGCAACUCACCUCCUCCUGCUAGGUCAAUCCAUUGUGGUAGGAUGAAUAAUGGCCCUCCAAAGAUGUCCUCGUCCUAAUCCCUGGAAUCUGUGAAUGUUACUUCAUGUGACAAAAGAGAUUUUGCAGAUAGAUUACAUUAGAAAUCUUAAAAUGGGGAGAUUAUCCUGGAUUAUCUGGGAGCGCCCUAAAUGUAAUCACAGUUUUCUAAUAAAAGCAAGGAGGGAGAUUUGACUAUUCAAGAGGAGAAGGCAGUGUGACUACAGAGGCAGAGAGUAGAGAGGUGUGGCCAUGAGUCAAGGAAUGCAGGCGGCCAUCAGAAACUGGUAGAGGCAAGGGACGGAUUUCUCCCCUGCAGCCUCCAAAAGAAACCCACUCUGCCAAUACCUUGAUUUUAGCCCUGUAGGUCUCAUUUUGGACUUCUGGCCCUCCAGAACUGUAAGGGAAUGAAUAUCCAUUGUUUUAAGCCACUAAGUUUAUGGUAAUUCAUUAGAGCACCAAUAGGAAAUUCAUUCAGCUACAGGCCUACGGUUUUGAGAAUUCAUAAUUGUAACUUAUAGAAGUAGAGUUUAGGAUGUCUCUAAAAUCAUCAGUGUUGUCCAUAAAUUAGCAGGUUUGCAAAUUUCCCCCACUGGCUAGAAAAAAGAAAAAUUCUCUCUUAUGGUUCCCCCAAAUCUAUUGAGAAGACAGUGUAAUGUGAGAUAGUACUUUGGAGACAGAUAAGCUCUCCCAGAAUUGUCAAAUUUAAAGCAUGGAUAAUAACCCACAUAGAUUUGUUGUCAGGAUUUGUCCCAGAUGCUAACAAAUUAAAAAUAAAACGUCUAAAUGAAUAAUCUAAGGGGUUCUAACAAUGCUAGCUGUAGGCAUUUUCAUCAGUGUAGCGAGACUAUUUGUGGAAAAACAUCUUUUUCACUGAACAAAAUAAGUUUAGAAUGUUCCACUAAAUAUCAUUAACUGUGUUUGGUAAGACUGUGAGGAAUUUAGAAAAUGAGUUUGAACUCUCGGGGCUGAUCCUACAAACCUGAACAUUACUGAUCUAAAAAGCCAUGCUGGGAGAGCUCCCAGCCCUGCUGUCCUCCCAUGCAUUCAGAUGCCCUGUAGCCUCCUAGUUAGGUGAUCAUUUGUAUUUAUCCCAAUUUGCAUCUAAAUUUUGUACCCAGGAAGCUAAAAGUAAACCAAGAAAUCACUACCUACAAACCAGCAAUAGUGUAUGUAACUGGGACUAUGUGUACUCAGAAGAGGUUAAUUCUCUGGCAUGAUAUCAUAGUUGGACCAGGAAAGUGAUGUUUAUAUAAUCACAAACUAUGCAACUAAAAGUCUCAUCUACUGUGUCUCUUUGCUACUUAUUUUCAAUUUGCUUUCUUGUUGCUUUAUUACAUACAGCAAGAGGAGGGGCAUUUCUUUGGGAUCUUGAGUUCUUAUUUUCUCAGUCUUUCUUUCCCUCUCUUUUCCUCCCUCCAUCUCUCCAAGCUAAGAGCUUCUGGUAUGUACGGAGAAAAGGACACAAGGAAGAAAGAUUUCUUCGUGCAUUCCUGCCAACCACAUGGAUGUUUCUCCGUAUAAUCCUAGGACCCCAUCCCCUGGAAAUGCCAUGAUGAGACCCUCACAUCUCCGUGUUUGGACAGUGUCUGGAUAAGGCACUACACUGUGAACGUUCCACAGUGAACUGGGCUAUUGAACCCCCAGGGCCUAUGUGCUUAACAUAUUCUAGCGGGAUUGAAAUAGGCAGGCUGCCAAUAUUUUUGAGAAACUGAUUUAGGGAUUCUAGUGACCAAAGGUUUGGUAUAUUGCUUUGACACUGCCUCUGAAAAUAUUUCUUCCUCCACCUCUUGAUAAGAAAUUAGAGACUUGGAGGUCAAGAAUGAUAAAUCUUCUGCCUACAAUGUGUAUGAAGACUAAAAGCAAAAUACACUGUCACUAUUUGAUUGGCAGGGCUUUCAACAGUGACAGAAAGCAUUCCCUAUGAACACUCUCCUUCUGAGGGAAGACAAUUGGAUGAGGAAAAGCUAAUCCCUAGUGGCUUUCUCAAGAGCCCGGCAAUGGAAAAAACGAAUCUGUGAGAUCUUGAGUUCCUUGCAACCUUUAAGAACCAUAUAUAGUUUUACUUCUAUAAGCAAGAAACAAAAUAGAAACCUGAAACCAGCUCUCUAAAUCUUCAUAUAAAUAAGUUCAAAAUUCAGGGAGAAAUCCUUUGUUCCAGAAUUUGAUUUGAAAACAGUUUCUACAUUGUUACCACAUGAAAAAAGCUGGAAAUGGAAGUCAGAGGAAGAAGCUGACAUGGAGAAAGAAUUUGUUGCUCUACAUCGCUAGGAAAAUCUGUCAGGUUUCAGGGUUCUGUCCUCCCUCCCGCCCACUUCCAUAUCACAGCACUGGCCUUGGGACAGAAGUCAUCAAAGUGACAAAAAGCCACACAUGACAGAAGUUUAACAACCUUAUCUCCAGAUGGGGAGUGUGUGCAUUAGAAAGGAUGGAAAGGCAGCCUUCUUGAACACUGGAGCUUUCAAAUGUUUGCGACUCAAAAGUGGGGCUAAGGUGGCAAAUAAUAAAUGAAUCAGCAAAGGCUA